UGGGGAAUAUUGCACAAUGGGCGCAAGCCUGAUGCAGCCAUGCCGCGUGUGUGAAGAAGGCCUUCGGGUUGUAAAGCACUUUCAGCGGGGAGGAAGUCGUUAAGGUUAAUAACCUUGGCGAUUGACGUUACCCGCAGAAGAAGCACCGGCUAACUCCGUGCCAGCAGCCGCGGUAAUACGGAGGGUGCAAGCGUUAAUCGGAAUUACUGUGCGUAAAGCGCACGCAGGCGGUCUGUCAAGUCGGAUGUGAAAUCCCCGGGCUCAACCUGGGAACUGCAUUCGAAACUGGCAGGUUAGAGUCUUGUAGAGGGGGGUAGAAUUCCAGGUGUAGCGAUGAAAUGCGUAGAGAUCUGGAGGAAUACCGGUGGCGAAGGCGGCCCCCUGGACAAAGACUGACGCUCAGGUGCGAAAGCGUGGGGAGCAAACAGG
rnacentral:rRNA from 1 species